rnacentral:lncRNA from 1 species
AAAAAAAAGCAGAAAAGAAGAAAAAAGGAAGAAGAAGAAGCUAGACUUAACAACAAAAUGAGUUAUUUCUCCUUGGCUUUUCAACCUCGAUCGGUACGUAGUUCAGUAUUAUAUACUCCCUCUGUCUGUCCCAAACUUAAGAGUCCCAACUCCCAAAGACGGUCUCAUUUGAUUUUUCACUUUUUUUUAUCAUAUUACUCUUAAAACUAUAUUGACAUAAAAGUCAUUGUUUUUUCUUUCUUUAUAAGAAUGUGUUUUUAAGAAAACCUUAAUAUAAACGUAAAAGGAAAAGUUAAAAAGUCAUUUUGACAACUCUCGUUUUGACACCAGGGAGUACUAGGUAUCCUGUUUUGUAUUACUUGAAUAUUGUUUAAUUUGUAGAUACGCAAAACAUAAAAGGUUCUAUCAUUCCUAUCGAAGAGACAACAAUAGUUUAAAUCUCAUCUCUUCCUGGAUAAUAUGUCUGCAGUAAAAAAAUAGCUGAGCUUUAAACGCAAGAACAUAACAUAUGUCUAAGUUUUUAUGAUAUUUUUGGACUAGUACAACCAUAAUAUAUUUCAUGGCAUUCAUGCUACAAAUGAUAGCUUCAAAAUGUGGGACUGUGAUGGUUCAUGAUCAUAUAUAUAACCAAUAGACCAAUAAAUAAUCCCAAAGAGAUUUCAUGCGGGUUUCAAAUGAAGCACAGCGUCCACUUGAUAAUCUUAGAGGGAAGAACAACCAAGAGGUGGCAUUUAAUAUAUAUUCUAAACUCUUCUAACUUUCAAAUCCAAGAGACAUUGUAAUAUACUCUGUAUGCUUAGUCUGAAUAGUGGAGCUAGCUAGCUAAAGUCUCAUCCUCAUACAAUUAUGAAUGUGUUCCCAUUUAGCAGAAGUGAAGUUGUCACAGGCUGGAUGAAAUAGAAUAAUUUGAAGGGGAUAUCCCACCUAGCCUCUUCAAUGAGAGAGUAUUCAUUUUGCAAAUUAAACAUUCUUUUUGGCAUCACCAAGUGGCCAACGCUUGCGUUCUAAUGGGUUUUUUUCCCGUCUGGUGGCGCCUAGGGACCCUGCUUUCUGAUGGUCCUUGAAUUAACUACCACCUUUAAUAUUGUACCCCACUAUCAAUUUAACACUUGAAUAAUGUUGUUCUCAUUU